AUGCAGAAGAGAAAGUGUUGGGGCUAAACCCAUGAGAAGAAAGCUAUUGUGGGAGGAAGAGUGGGGCAGAGCCCCCAUCUUAGCUUCCUUCUCACUCACCCACCCCCUACUCUGGCCAAAGGAAGACCCUGAAAGCUUCACAGGGUCCAGAGGAUUGAGACUUUUUCACUGGUGCUAGCAGCAGCUGGCAGUAGCAUCUGCCCUGGGAGCUGAUGAAGAAAAGCAGAUUCAAGGCUCCACAAAAGAGUCCAGCAGUCAAGCUAAGUCACAUCUAAGGCGAACAGCCUGAGGACUUCAGCUGAAGGACUUCCAGAAGCUAUGAAGGACCAGACCUCUUUGCCAUAAGUGUUCUCUAAGCUUGAGCCCACGUUUCCCUGGAUUCUUUGUGUUUUGGUCAUCGUCCAUUUCCUUUAAAUGCUCGGUUUUGCUAGCAAGCAUAUGAUUGUGGAGAGAAGUGUUUCUAACAGUUCUGGUAAUAACAGCCGACUUUCAAGUUUUCAAAGCACUUAAUAUACAUUAUUUCAUUUGAUCCUCAAAACAAUACUGUAAGGUCUAACACUACCCACUCUGCAUACUGCCUCGUUCUUAAAGAAAGCCUGCACAGAAUAGAAUGCAGUCUGCAAAAGAGGAGUCACAUUAACACCAGCUGUGAUGAACUCAUGUGAAAAAGAUCCCACCAUGAUCACAAAAAGAGUGGCUAUAACUCCAGGAUCCAUAAAAUCAGAGUUGAAAACCAAUCCAGAAAUCACAGAGAGGAAGAGAGCCUGGGAUGAUCGUCAAGUUGAAGGAGUUUCCCCUCCUGAAAGAAAGAGAAGAUGAAGGUCUAGUGGAGCCGAAUGAACAUCUGAAGGGCUAGUGACACCGGUUAUGUCCUCAGGUCUGAGGACAGAGAUGGGAGAGGAGAGGACACAUCAAGCCAGAUGCUGAACUUCCUUGAGAUGGGAAAAAGAGUGAACCAGAAGCCAGUGGCUGCCACAACGAGGAUCUGCACAAAACAAAUGUUGUGUUGUGAAACUCCAAAGAGGAGACUAAUGAUUUCAUUAUUUCCUAGGCAAUAAGCAGAGUGAAAUCUGUAUUCUCUGCACUUUUCACCCACCUGGAUGCAUUCUGUCAUAAAAUAUCAUUUAUCAAAGUUGAGUUAUUAAACAAUUUGAUCACCCCGAAAA